rnacentral:sRNA from 1 species
UCGCAGGGCAUCUCCAGCUGCUCCCAUUGAGCUGUCUGCUCGCUGUGCCCGCUGUGCCUGCUGUGCCCGCGCUGUCGCCGCUGCUACCGCGUCUGCUCGACGCGGGAGACGCCAGCGAGCUGGUGAUUGGAGCCCUGCGGAGAGCUCAAGCACCCAGCGCUGCCCCAGGAGCCCAGGCUGCCCUGUGAGUCCCAUAGUUGCUGCAGGAGUGAAGCCAUGAGCUGUGUCCUGGGCGGUGUCAUCCCCUUGGGGCUGCUGUUCCUGGUCUGCGGAACCCAAGGCUACCUCCUGCCCAACGUCACUCUCUUAGAGGAGCUGCUCAGCAAAUACCAGCACAACGAGUCUCACUCCCGGGUCCGCCGAGCCAUCCCCAGGGAGGACAAGGAGGAGAUCCUCAUGCUGCACAACAAGCUUCGGGGCCAGGUGCAGCCUCAGGCAUCCAACAUGGAGUACAUGACCUGGGAUGACGAACUGGAGAAGUCUGCUGCAGCGUGGGCCAGUCAGUGCAUCUGGGAGCACGGGCCCACCAGUCUGCUGGUGUCCAUCGGGCAGAACCUGGGCGCUCACUGGGGCAGGUAUCGCUCUCCUGGGUUCCACGUGCAGUCCUGGUAUGACGAGGUGAAGGACUACACCUACCCCUACCCGAGCGAGUGCAACCCCUGGUGUCCAGAGAGGUGCUCAGGGCCCAUGUGCACGCACUACACACAGAUAGUUUGGGCCACCACCAACAAGAUCGGCUGUGCUGUGAACACCUGCCGGAAGAUGACCGUCUGGGGAGAAGUUUGGGAGAACGCAGUCUACUUUGUCUGCAAUUAUUCUCCAAAGGGGAACUGGAUUGGAGAAGCCCCCUACAAGAAUGGCCGGCCCUGCUCUGAGUGCCCGCCCAGCUAUGGAGGCGGCUGCAGGAACAACUUGUGUUACCGAGUCUUGGUGUGACCCCCGCCUCCAGGGAGCCUUCCUGGACUUCACAGACAGACAGUGUACUUGCCCAUGUUCAUCAACCCCCAGACUCCUUGGGAACCUUGAUCGUCCUGUUGUCUCAGCUGCCAGCUCACUCCAGGGCCUCCGGGGGCAUGUGGCAG